CAAUAGCGUAUAUUAAAGUUGUUGCAGUUAAAAAGCUCGUAGUUGAAUUUUUGCUUGCCGCCGAUGUCGGAACUUCCGUACGUUCGGCGGCGUGCAUCCUUGGGUGGAACCUGUGUGGCAUUAGGUUGUCGUGCAGGGGAUGCUCAUCGUUUACUGUGAAAAAAUUAGAGUGUUCAAAGCAGGCUUUCGCUUGAAUACAUUAGCAUGGAAUAAUAAGAUAGGACUUUGGUGCUAUUUUGUUGGUUGAGCCUAAAGUAAUGAUUAAUAGGGAUAGUUGGGGGCACCUGUAUUGCGUUGUCAGAGGUGAAAUUCUUGGAUUUACGCAAGACAAACAGCUGCGAAAGCGUCUGCCAAGGAUGUUUUCAUUAA
rnacentral:rRNA from 1 species